UUAUUUUGAAGAGCUCACCUCCUGUAUUGGUCUGCCUGUUUUUGCUUUAACAGAAAUACCCAAGAAGAGCUUCUUUGGGAAAGAGAAGUUUUAUUUCAGCUCACGGUGGGAGGUUACAGGAUCAGCUGUCCAAUGCAGGCUGGUUAGGUGGGCGUGGAGGCAUGACCACAUGGUGACUCAGGCAGCAGGGAGACAGAAAGAACCUAGGCGGAACUUGAACACACAUAAUCCAACCACUUGCAAGAGGGCACGCUCCCCACUGACGUAAACACCUCCCACGGGCUCCACCCCUCAGACGCCAUCAUUGCAUCAAGUCUCCACCCUUAAUCCACCAACCAUUAACAUGAAGGUAUCUGAGUUUAAACAGAUCCUACUCAGCCGGUGACACCUUCCCAGGCAGAGAAAUGGGGUAUUUUGAGGGGGAAUUCCUCACGGGCACCCAGGGAGGCUCCGCCUGACCUAACUACUGAGUCCUCGGUAAACCACCGCAUGGCACUGAAGUCUGUGGAGCAGCAUCACCACGCAUAAACCGUGCCGAACACGGAAAUAGCCGUCUUCUAUUUGAUUGCACAUGUCAGGAUCCUUUCCUGCCCACAAACUGAACGCUUCCUGUGUCUCUCUUGUAAACCCUUAACAGUUAAACUCUGUGGACCUGCGAACUUAAUCCCAGAGGUUUUGAUGCACCUGUCUGUCACCCUGACGGAAGGCUCAGGUGAGAGCUUCUUGCUCAUGCACUUGAAAGGAGAGGCCUCACCAAUAAACGCUCUUGAAAGACUUGCUUGAUCAGUCUUUUCAUCAAUGCAGCUGUUUCCCCCAGGGAGCGCUUGAGCCCAUGCUAAUGCUUUGCUGGAUGCCAAGGGCAUUGAGUUGAUCCUAUGUGGUGUUCAAGUAACCUCAAAGAAGCUAAAGUCACUUGUCAUCGGGAGAACACAUAAGCACCAAUGAUAGAUUUGGUUUAGUAGAUUUAUUUAUUUAUUCGAAAGUUACAAUUGCAAAGAGAGAGAAGGAGAGGCAGAGAGACAGAGGUCUUCCAUCUGCUGGUUCACUCCCCAGUUGGCUGCAAUGGCUGAUGCUGUGCCGAUUCGACACCAGGAGCCAGGAGCUUCUUCUGGGUCUCCCACACGAGUGCAGGGGCCCAAGGACUUGGGCCAUCUUCUACUGCUUUCCCAGGCCAUAGCAGAGAGCUGGAUGGGAAGCAGAGCAGCCAAAUCUCGAACCGUCGCUCAUAUGGGAUGCCAACACUACAGGCGGCAGCUUUACUGGCUAUGCCACAGCGCCGGCCCCUGCUCUUGUAUUCUGCUUGGCAGAGUGGACAGUGAGAGAGAGAGAGACAGAGACAAAGGUCUUCCUUUUGCCGUUGAUUCACCCUCCAAUGGCCACCGCGGCAUGGCCACCGCGGCCGGCGCGCUGCUGCCAGCAUACCACGCUGAUCCGAAGGCAGGAGCCAGGUACUUCUCCUGGUCUCCCAUGGGGUGCAGGGCCCAAGCACUUGGGCCAUCCUCCACUGCACUCCCUGGCCACAGCAGAGAGCUGGCCUGGAAGAGGGGCAACCUGGAAAGAAUCCGGCGCUCCGACCGGGACUAGAACCUGGUGUGCCAGCGCCGCUAGGCGGAGGAUUAGCCUAGUGAGCCGCGGCGCCGGCUGAUCCUGUAUUUUAUAAUAAACUGUUCACUGCCCUGUGUUAAGUUGUGUUUUACACACACACACACACAUCUGUAGAAUUAAAAAAGAAUUCAGUACAUAUAGGUUAUUUGCUCUUGGGAUUUGGGAAUUAAAUACUGGAAGGCUAAUCAAAUGUCAAGAAUUAAUAAAAUGAAUGAAAUCAGUUGUCCAAGUCAAAGUUUUAUAUGUAUAUCACCCUUGCCUUGGGUUCAUAUCUCAAGCACCUACAUAAGUUACGUCCACCCGCUUAAAAAUAAACUCUCUUUUGCUGCUGAGGUCUUUAACAUCAAGUUUGAGAAGUGUCAGCCUUAUAAUUUAUCAUUUCAUGAUUCAUUUCUGAAUAUCUUUUCCUAGCAGGAAUGUGUCUUGUCUUUUUCUAUUCCUGUUUGCACUGGGGAGCUGUUGAGCUGGGUGUGUUCAGUACCCAGUGUCUGGUUAGGAUAUGACAAAUAUCUGCAUGAUUUUUCAUUUUUCUCUUGUCAUCAGGAUACUUGUGGUGACAUACCAACUACACUCAUAUGAAGUCACAUGACUUGAAAUAUUAUUGCCUUCAAGGUAAUCUAACUCUAAUGUUCCUAUUUAAAAACAGGAUUUUGUUUUAUUGGUGAAUUGACCACUCUGUGAUAAGGUGUGUUAAUCAAUCAAAAGGAUAUUUUCAUGGUUUAACAGAAAAGAUUCCAGCAUUUUUCCUAUCUGGAUGGUGCUUGAGAUAAAUAUGGUGAAAAAAUAUAAGACAUUUUUCUGCCCUAGAAGCAACUCAGAAAUCUUUAGGUGUAAUGACGGGCUAACAGCCACAAACACAAGGUGACAUCUUUAAAGAUAAGGACAGUGAGGUAUUGAUUAGACAAAUCUAUUUGGCCAGACAGCUGUGAUGUAUAGAUAGGAGAAGGAGGUGAGAGAGAAACCCAUGAAUGCACAUUUUCGAAAAUACCUUGCAC